GGACUACCAGGGUAUCUAAUCCUGUUUGCUCCCCACGCUUUCGUUCCUCAGCGUCAGUACAUAGCCAGGUGGCCGCUUUCGCCUCUGAUGUUCCUGUUGAUCUCUACGGAUGUCACUCCUACACCAACAAUUCCACCACCCUCUCUAUGACUCAAGAAUCACAGUUUCAAAUGCACGUCCCGAGUUAAGCUCGGGGAUUUCACACUUGACUUACGAUCCCGCCUACGAACCCUUUACGCCCAAUAAUUCCGAACAACGCUCGCACCCUUCGUAUUACCGCGGCUGCUGGCAC
rnacentral:rRNA from 1 species